UACGUAGGGUGCGAGCGUUAAUCGGAAUUACUGGGCGUAAAGCGUGCGCAGGCGGUUUUGUAAGCCAGAUGUGAAAUCCCCGGGCUUAACCUGGGAAUGGCAUUUGGGACUGCAAGGCUGGAGUACGGCAGAGGAGACUGGAAUUCCUGGUGUAGCAGUGAAAUGCGUAGAUAUCGGAAGGAACACCAGUGGCGAAAGCGGCUUCCUGGUCCAGCACCGACAUUCAGGCACGAAAGCGUGGGGAGCAAACAGG
rnacentral:rRNA from 1 species